AGUGAACGCUGGCGGUAGGCCUAACACAUGCAAGUCGAACGGCAGCACAGUAAGAGCUUGCUCUUACGGGUGGCGAGUGGCGGACGGGUGAGGAAUACAUCGGAAUCUACUUUUUCGUGGGGGAUAACGUAGGGAAACUUACGCUAAUACCGCAUACGACCUACGGGUGAAAGCAGGGGAUCUUCGGACCUUGCGCGAUUGAAUUAGCCGAUGUCGGAUUAGCUAGUUGGCGGGGUAAAGGCCCACCAAGGCGACGAUCCGUAGCUGGUCUGAGAGGAUGAUCAGCCACACUGGAACUGAGACACGGUCCAGACUCCUAAGGGAGGCAGCAGUGGGGAAUAUUGGACAAUGGGCGCAAGCCUGAUCCAGCCAUACCGCGUGGGUGAAGAAGGCCUUCGGGUUGUAAAGCCCUUUUGUUGGGAAAGAAAAGCAGCAGGUUAAUACCCCGCUGUUCUGACGGUACCCAAAGAAUAAGCACCGGCUAACUUCGUG
rnacentral:rRNA from 1 species